rnacentral:rRNA from 1 species
UACCGGCUGCUCGAGUGAUAGCCACUUUUACUGGGCUUAAAGCGUUCGUAGCUUGGUCGUUAAGUCUCUGGGGAAAUCUUUUGGCUCAACCUAAAGGCGUCUCAGGGAAACUGGCGAUCUUGGAACCGGGAGAGGUAAGACGUACUUCGGGGGUAGGAGUGAAAUCUUGUAAUCCCCGAGGGACGACCGAUGGCAAAGGCAUCUUACCAGAACGGCUUCGACAGUGAGGUAAGUGGAAUUCCUAGUGUAG